AUGAGACUGAAGCUCAAAGAAGUUAAGUAACUUGCCAAAAGACUCCCAGCUAAAAGUGUGAGAGCAAAGACUCAAACCAAGGCAGUCUUCUGGUUUCAGAGCCUGAAGUCUUAACCAGGUGAGAAUAAAACUUCCAGCAUGCUUAUGUGUGUGCUUAUCUGUGAAUGACCCCAGAGCUGACUGCAGAUGUUGAGAGAAGAGGUAACUUUGACCAAAUGCAGUCAUGACCUCAGGUGUGGGCAAGUCCUUGUUCCCUACCUGGACUUGGCUAGGCCUGCAGGUCAUACAGGAAGAACAGUCCCUCUGAAGGUGACCAUAAUCCACAGGGCAGGGUGUGGAAAGUGACAGAGGUGAAUUUAUUAAAUGACUUGGUCAAGUCCCCACAGCUGGUCACUGGCAGAAGCAGCAGAAACAAAUAGGCAGCAUUAUCUAUUCUCCCAGUCAACAAACAGCCUUUGAGCCCAGCUAUGCCUGGCACUGUCUCUGCAGUCAAGCCCCAGACUUACAAUACUGAUUUUAAGUCCAACUAUAUAAUUAGCUGGACUACAUUUUAAAUAUGUGUACUAGGGAAACAGGAGGGACCCUAUAGUCUUUUAUAUGCUCAAGUGUUCAGUGCUUCUGCAGGAGGCAGAGAGCUAAAAGAAGAGAGAAGUUUGAUGGGAGAAAAUAAUUUCCUGGUUGCAAAAGAUAAGAAAAGGAAUUCACUCAGGAACUCAAGACCACAAGGUAGACACACACAGUCUCUGCUCAAGUUUUGCCAAGCUCUGUACAGAAGAAACCAUGUUCUUUGUUUUUUCAAGUUCCUUUUAAGUGGGAUAAAAAAGUGGAUUGGGGCCAGGCGCGGUGGCUCAUGCCUGUAAUCCCAGCACUUUGGGAGGCCUAGGCAGGCAGAUCAUGAGGUCAGGAGAUCGAGACCAUCCUGGCUAACAUGGUGAAACCCCGUCUCUACUAAAAAUACACACAAAAAAUUAGCUGGGCAUGGUGGUGGGCGCCUGUGGUCCCAGCUACUUGGGAGGCUGAGGCAGGAGAAUGGCAUGAACCCAGGAGGCGGAGCUUGCAGUGAUCCGAGAUCUCACCACUGCACUACAUCCUGGGUGACAGAGCGAGACUCCAUCUCAAAAAAAAAAAAAAAAGAAAGAGUGGAUUGGCCCCACCUUUCAUCGUACACAAAAGUAAGUUAAAAAUACAAUUCUGAAAAGCUUUACUUAGAAUUUUUUCAGAAGAAAAUAUAGGAGAAUUUUUUUUUACCUCAGCCCGUGGAUGAAUUUUGUAAACUUGGAAAAAUAAGAUUGGAACAAUAAGCACAGGAUAUAAAGGAAGACAAUACAUUUGACCACACUGGAAUUAAAAACUUUGGUUUACUAAAAGAGUUUGUUUGUUUGUUUUGAGGUGGAGUCUUGCUCUGUCGCCCAGGCUGGAGUGCAGUGGCACGAUCUCGGCUCACUGCAAUCUCAGCCUCCCGGGUUCAAGCAAUUCUUCUGCCUCAGCCUCCAGAGUAGCUGGGAUUACAGACACCUGCCACCGCACCCGGCUAAUUUUUGUAUUUUUAGUGGAGACGGGGUUUCACCAUGUUGCCCAGGCUGGUCUCGAACUCCUGACCUCGUGAUCCGCCCGCCUCGGCCUCCCAAAGUGUUGGGAUUAGGCGUGAGCCACCGCCCAGCUAAAGAUAUUGUUUAAAGCUUGAAAAGACAAGCCAUAGACUGGAAGAAGGUAUCUCCAAUCCAUGUAUUUACAAAGAACUAGUUUCCAGACUAUGUAAGAAGUUCUGUAAUCAAUGAGGAAAAAACACAACUCCACAGAAAAAUGGGCAAAAGAUGAGAAUGGGCAGUUGACACAAGUGAAAAUCCAAAUGGCCAAGAAACAUCAGUAGAUGCCCACCCUCAUCAGUAACCAGGGAAAUGCAAAUGAAACCACAAUCAGAUGCCGUGCCACACUUUUCAAAUGGAAAAAAAUGAUCAACUUUCACUGUCCCAGUAGCAGGAUCACUGCUAGUGAGGGCGUAAACUGAUUCAGCUACUUUGGUGUGUGCUUUUAUGUUUCAUAUCUUUUAAUGGAGAGAAGGCAAUGCAUAGAGUGCACAAAUCUUUUUUAUUUAUUUAUUUAUUUAUUUAUUUAUUUUGAGAUGGAGUCUCGCUCUGUCGCCCAGGCUGGAGUGCAGUGGCGAGAUCUCGGCUCAUUGAAAGCUCUGCCUCCUGGGUUCAUGCCAUUCUCCUGCCUCAGCCUCCUGAGUAGCUGGGACUACAGGCGCCCGCCACCACGCCCGGCUAAUUUUUUGUAUUUUUAGUAGAGACGGGGUUUCACCCUGUUAGCCAGGAUGGUCUGGAUCUCUUGACCUUGUGAUCCACCUGUCUUGGCCUCCCAAAGUGCUGGGAUUACAGGCGUGAGCCACCACGCCCGGCCACAGUACACAAAUCUUAAGUGUAUACCGAGGUAACCACCACCCGCAUGGAGGCAUAGAAUCUCUCCAGAACCCCCACUGGGUUCCUUCCUGCCCCUUCCCACUUUAUACCUCCCUCCUCAAGGUACCGUUACCUUACUGCUUUUCAUUACAGAUUCAUUUAACCUGUUCUAGACUUCAUAUAAUUUUUGGUUUCUUUCAUUCAACAUACCUGUUAGAUCCAUCCAUGUUGUUGGCAUGUAGGAGUAGUUUGUUCCUUUGUAUUGCUAAGUAGUAUUCCAUUGUGUAGAUACACCAUAAUUUAUUUCUGCAUUCUCCUAUUGAUUGGAAUUUGAAUUCUUUCCACUUCGGGGACUAUUAUGAAUAAAGCUGCUAGAAAUAUUAUUGAUGUGAAGUAUAGCAACUCUGGUGAGCAAUUUGGAUUCUCUAGUUAACUUGAAAAAGUGUAUACUCUAUGACCCAGCAAUUCCAUUCCUAGGAAAAUAUGUUAGAGAAACUUUCAUACGUGUUAAGAAACAUGAGUAAAAAUGUCUGUAGCUGUUUUGUUAAUAGUUACAAAAACAAAACAAAAUAAAAUAAUCUUAAAUGCCCACCAA
rnacentral:lncRNA from 1 species